rnacentral:rRNA from 1 species
UACGUAGGUGGCAAGCGUUGUCCGGAAUUAUUGGGCGUAAAGCGCGCGCAGGUGGUUUCUUAAGUCUGAUGUGAAAGCCCACGGCUCAACCGUGGAGGGUCAUUGGAAACUGGGGAACUUGAGUGCAGGAGAGAAGAGUGGAAUUCCACGUGUAGCGGUGAAAUGCGUAGAGAUGUGGAGGAACACCAGUGGCGAAGGCGACUCUUUGGCCUGUAACUGACACUGAGGCGCGAAAGCGUGGGAGCAACAGGAUUAGAUACCCGU